GUACUCUCACACUCUCUGAUCCUUUGGAUUUGGGGAGCGGUGGACUUGGGUGUUUGCUGCUUUUCCUAGUGGCUCACCUCAAAUGUGUCAGUGCACCUCUUGGUUGGACAUAGUACGGCGUGAUAAGUGUCUUCGCCGGCACCUCGCAAGAGGGUGGCUGAUCAAGAGCUCUGUGCUUUCAAACCGUCUUCGGACACUUUCUGACA
rnacentral:misc_RNA from 1 species